UACGAAGGGGGCGAGCGUUGUCCGGAGUUACUGGGCGUAAAGCGCACGCAGGCGGUCCUAUUAGUCUGGGGGUGACAGUUCCCGGCUUAACCGGAAAAGGACUCUGGAAACUGUAGGACUUGAGGGCUUCAGAGGGAUGUGGAAUUCCAGGUGGAGUGGUGAAAUGCGUAGAGAUCUGGAAGAACACCAAAGGCGAAGGCACGCGAUCCUGGGAAGUCCUGAC
rnacentral:rRNA from 1 species